AACGUAGGAGACAAACGUUAUCCGGAGUUACUGGGCGUAAAGGGCGUGCAGGCGGCAGUCUAAGUCUGGCGUGAAAUUUCCCGGCUUAACCGGGAGAGGUCGUCGGAUACUGGGCAGCUUGAGGGCGGUAGAGGCGUGUGGAAUUCCGGGUGUAGUGGUGAAAUGCGUAGAGAUCCGGAGGAACACCAGUGGCGAAGGCGACACGCUGGGCCGCACCUGACGCUAAGACGCGACAGCAUGGGGAGCAAACAGG
rnacentral:rRNA from 1 species